CCCAGCCAUCCUAUUUUGAAGUAACACUCAUCCUGAGUUAGAAAUGGUAAGUCUUUAGUGUCUGCGUGUCUGGUAACUUGAGAAAUCUUUAGAUAAACUUUGGUUAGAAUGAUAGCAAAUUACAGAGUUAGCUCCCCUUAAUUGUUAAUUUCUAGUGCAUUGUAACCAAAUUUUAUCUCCAAUUACCAGAACAGGACAAGGAAACGAAUGGUAUACUUUUGCAUCAUUAUACAUUUUGAACAUAAAUUAAUGUCAACUUGAGUGGGUUUUUGUUUGUCAUGUUUUCACCACUGCCUGAUUCUUAGGUAGACUAGCACUUUAAA
rnacentral:lncRNA from 1 species